rnacentral:piRNA from 1 species
UGACAAGUCCAAUGUGCCAAUGGUGGG